UACGUAGGGUGCAAGCGUUGUCCGGAUUUAUUGGGCGUAAAGCGUCCGUAGGCGGUUUUGAAGGUCUGAUGUUAAAGGUUGGAGCUCAACUCCAGUAGGGCAUUGGAAACUACUUAACUAGAGUGCAAUAGGGGAAGCUGGAAUUUCCGGUGUAGCGGUGAAAUGCGUAGAUAUCGGAAGGAACACCAGUGGCGAAAGCGGGCUUCUGGAUUGCAACUGACGCUGAUGGACGAAAGCCAGGGGAGCGAAAGCG
rnacentral:rRNA from 1 species